GACCUAGAGGAGGGGUAGGACAUGCACAAAGAAGAAGACAACCAAAUCUGUGUAACGAAUAAACCACAGACUAACACUGAGGGAGGCUGGACUGAGAGUACAGUCUAACCUAAGCAGGUACACCAGUCAUCAACACAAUCAUCAUUUCGUCAAGAGCACAGGAUGGAACGUCGAGAACACCAAGGAGGGAGGGGCCCCAUAUUCACACAGGAGCAAGAGAGAGAUCAUAAACCUCAUUUUUGGCCAAUAAUGCAAUCAACCUUAGAGAAAUUCAAGCCCAUGUUGCCAAUGAUCACCAAAUUUUCAAUAAUGUCCAACAGGUCUCUCUGUCAACAAUAGCCCAUAUCCUUAAAAACAUCAAGUGAGAGUUUUGCAAAUGGAUGCGGAGGAAGUCCUGCAUGAGUUUACAUACAUUGAGGCUGGAUUUACCCUGACAACAGUGAGAAGAAGGGGAAGAAACAUCAUUGGCCACAGGGCUAUUGUCAAUGUACCAAGGCAACGUGGGGGUAACAUUACCCUUUGUACACAGAAUGGGGUCCUCCACCACCAUGACAACUUGAGUCCUUACAACACUGACCUCAAUCUUACAUUUUUAGACUGAUUACACAAUAUUAUCACAGCAGCAAACCAAACAUUGUCAUCUGGGACAAUGUAGCUUGCCAUCAUUCUGCUCUGGUCCAAAACUGGUUUCAUCAACACCCACAAUUUACAGUUCAAUACCUUCCACCAUACUCCCCCUUCCUAAACCCCGUCGAGGAGUUCUUCUCAGCAUGGCAGUGGAAGGUUUAUGAUCUCCGGCCCUAUGUCCAGAUGGCCCUCAUUCGAGCUAUGGAGGAAGCAUGUGAUCAAAUUGAAGCAGCAUCCAUACAAGGGUGGAUACGUCAUUCCAAAAGAUUCUUCCAACAUUGCCUUGCAAAUGAAAAUAUUGCCUGUGAUGUUGACAAGGCCCUGUGGCCAGAUCCAGCUAGGCGGAGAGAUGUUUAGGUUUUUUCAUUUAUUUUUUGGAUAUGUAAUUUGUUACAGUAUUACUGUAAGCUUACAGUACAAUGGUACGUUCAGUAAUACUGUAUGAAAACUGGAAAAUGUUUUGUUAUGAAUGUUUUGUUGAAAUGUUCAGUAUUGACUGACUUGAGUACAUGAAAAGAAAUAAAUAUUUUAAUUAGUCUGCACAACUGGUGUCAUGUGGUGUUGGUGAAUUUAUUUUUACACUUUAUCUGUGUAAAUGCUACAAGUGUUUUUGGUUGAGCACAGGAGUGUUUAACUGAUUCAAACAGAAUCAGACCAUAUGAUG